rnacentral:rRNA from 1 species
UAGGGAAUCUUCGGCAAUGGGGGGAACCCUGACCGAGCAACGCCGCGUGAGUGAAGAAGGUCUUCGGAUCGUAAAGCUCUGUUGUUAAGGAAGAACGAGUGUGAGAAUGGAAAGUUCAUACUGUGACGGUACUUAACCAGAAAGGGACGGCUAACUACGUGCCAGCAGCCGCGGUAAUACGUAGGUCCCGAGCGUUGUCCGGAUUUAUUGGGCGUAAAGCGAGCGCAGGCGGUUAGAAAAGUCUGAAGUGAAAGGCAGUGGCUCAACCAUUGUAGGCUUUGGAAACUGUUUAACUUGAGUGCAGAAGGGGGGAGUGGAAUUCCAUGUGUAGCGGUGAAAUGCGUAGAUAUAUGGAGGAACACCGGUGGCGAAAGCGGCUCUCUGGUCUGUAACUGACGCUGAGGCUCGAAAGCGUGGGGAGCGAACAGG